CCUGAGGCAGGAAAGGAGGAGACAACUGUGAUGUUUGCCUUUAUCAGUCAAGCAGCACCAGAUAUUAAGAGAAAAUUGCGAUCUAUAGAAAAGUUAGGAGAAAAGCACCUUAGGGACUUAGUGGCAGUGGCAGAGAAAGUUUACACCAAGAGAGAGAAUUCAGAGGACAAGGAGCUUAGAAAGGAAAAGAGACAGGAGGGCAGCCGGACUAAGGUCCUAGACCGGCAGCCGGCCCACCAACGAAAAGAACUGAAAGAAAUCCUCCUGGCCACGGGUGCGAGAAAGCCAUCUGGAGAGGACACCUUCUCACCCAGGCCCAGACAAUGAGGAGGACAAAAGGAGAGGAAAAGCUAUGGAUGCCAUCAAAGUUGAUCAAGGUCUGAUUUGAGCAGGAGAAACCUCUUGAUGAGGAGAAAUGAUAUAUCAUCCACCAAGGUGAAUCCCACAAGUUGCAAGGAGAUCUCACAAAGGUCGGGGAAGUGUUUUGUUCUUGUCUUUACAGAAAAACAGAAAAUACCCAUCUUCAAGAAGCCAAAAGACAUGCCUUUAAUCCCAGCCUGGUCUACAGAGCAAGUUCCAGGACAACCUCCAAAACAAUACAGAGAAACCCUGUCUUGAAAAACCAAAAAUCCAAAAGACAUCGGAUGUAUAGAUGCCUAAAGAAGAAGGGAGAUAGCUAUCCGGAAGUAACCAUAUGGCACUAUGGAGAAGAUGUACAACUAAGGUUUCUCUACAAUUUAACAUCAUUGGUACAGACAGGUAUGUUUUUGACUGGUCUGGAAAUCAGAUAGGAGGACCUGAGGAGAGCCCUCAAAGCGAUGAAGAUGAUUGGACUAAAGGUUUUGUAGCUGGUAUCUGGUGUUCUGGAACUGGAACAGCUCAGACAUACCUAUGGAAGUUGGUUACUGCGUUGGAUUUUGGGGGAAGGAAUGGAAAGGCCUCAGAGUUUUGGAGUUAUGUCUACCCUUCCCGUAUCUUGAUGCCCAUUAGAUGGAUCUGUUUUAGCUUGUGUUAAUCUACCAUAUGCUUUGUCAGUAGGAAAUGUAAACAUUUCUAUGGAGGAAUCCCUUUUUAAUGUAAGUUGUGAGAAGUGUGAUUUGACUAAUUGUGUAUCCAUUGUUACUAAUCAUACAGGAAUUACGGUGUUAAGACAGCUUUUCUUUGUUUAUGCUACCUGUGAAUGUGAGUGAUCCAUGGUUUGGUGAUAAAGGAUUACAAGUGCUUGAAGAAUUUAAGAAAGCUCUGAGUAGACCUCAGCAUAUGGUUGGAUUGUUUAUAGCAGGAAUUACAGCUCUUAUUGUUUGGAUUGCUAUAGCUACUGCUGCUUCAGUAGCCUCGUCUUAAUCUAUUCAGACCAAAGGGUAUGCUAACCAGUUGUCUCAGAAUGCCUCUUUAAUGUUGGGUGUAUGGGAAGAUAUAAAUGUAAAAAUGGAGCAUAAAUUGAAUGCUUUCUACAAAGUGAUACAAUUUUUGGGAGAUCGGCUUCCAAAGCCUGAAAAUUAGAAUGCAUUUAAACUGUCAUGCAGGCUGGGCGGUGAUGGUGCACACCUUUGAUCCCAGCAUUUGGGAGGCAGAGGCAGACAGAUCUCUGUGAGUUCAAGGCUAGCCUACUCUGCAAAGCAAGUUCCAGGACAGGCUCCAAAGAUACACAGAGAAACCUUGUCUCGAAAAACAAACAAAAAAUUGUCACACUAGUUAUGAAUGGAUUUGUGUUACAUCUUCCAUAUACAAUGGAAAUGUUAUUGGAUGGGAAAGAGUUCAAGUGCAUCUCAGAGGGAUCUGGCAUGAUGUUAAUGUAUCCUUAGCUUUGGCUAAGUUACACCAAGAGAUUAUGGAGAUAAAGAUGGCUAAAUUACAUAUUUUGGAGCAGUAUAAUAGGGCAUCAUUUACUUCACUUUUAAGUACUGUUACAGUUCUUGGAGCUUGUGUUCUAUCAGGCAUAAUCUGACUACUGUCUUCAAGCUGAUCAUGACCUCCUUAUGGAAAGUGGGAUCAGAACUUCACGGAGUACAAUUCCUCACACUCUCUGAAUUUAUGAUUCUAGAGGUUGGUAGUCAAAGACAGGUAAGUUUUCUUUGCCUCCUCUCAACCUAAGACAGCACAUGAAUGAUGGGAUUCAUGCUCCUAUGAUGAUUAAGACUGGAGAGCAAAAGGAACAACCUAAAACAGGUUCAGUCAUCUAAGAGACUCUUGGGAAUCUUAAAAAAUAAAAAGGGGGAAUUGUGAGAACCCACAGUGAUUCCAUUCUGAAUACAGAGCCCACCUGGACUUAAAGGUCAAGAGAGGUCAAGCUCAUUUGCUCUUUAAGUAUUGGGAGCCAGGAGAAUGUUUUGAUAAAGCCUUGGGGGCAAACACAGUUUUCUGCCAAGUGCAGGAUUCUAGGCUGCUGAUGCCAGCAGGAGGUAUGUUGUGAGCAAUAAUGAGACUGUCUUUUCCCUGACUCAAGGAUGGAGCAGGCAUUUGGUCUUCGUAAAGAGCAUCUACCUAUGCUAUGUGAGUGUCUGCAAGGCUCUGAGUGCAACUUCUGCAUCACUUCCUCUGCCUCAAAGUUGUAUAUGAGUAGGCUGAGAAAUACACUUGGGGCAUCAGUAUUGACUGACAGGCCUCCCAACU